GACGAACGCUGGCGGCGUGCUUAACACAUGCAAGUCGAGCGGUAAGGCUCCUUCGGGAGUACACGAGCGGCGAACGGGUGAGUAACACGUGAGUAAUCUGCCCUUCACUUCGGGAUAACCAUGGGAAACGAUGGCUAAUACCGAAUACGACCGAGUCUUGCAUGAGAUCUUGGUGGAAAGUUUUUUCGGUGAAGGAUGUGCUCGCGGCCUAUCAGCUUGUUGGUGAGGUAACGGCUCACCAAGGCUUCGACGGGUAGCCGGCCUGAGAGGGUGACCGGCCACACUGGGACUGAGACACGGCCCAGACUCCUACGGGAGGCAG
rnacentral:rRNA from 1 species